CAGCAGCCGCGGUAAUACGUAGGGUGCGAGCGUUGUCCGGAAUUACUGGGUGUAAAGGGUGCGUAGGCGGGCAUGUGCGUCGGAGGUUAAAUACAACGGCUUAACCGUUGAACUGCCUUCGAAACGGCAUGUCUUGAAUGUGGGAGAGGAUGAUGGAAUUCCUGGUGUAGCGGUGAAAUGCGUAGAUAUCAGGAGGAACACCGGUGGCGAAGGCGGUCAUCUGGCCCACUAUUGACGCUGAGGCACGAAAGCGUGGGGAGCAAACAGGAUUAGAUACCCUGGUAGUCCACGCCCUAAACGAUGUAUGCUUGGUGUUGGUUGCGAAAGCAAUCAGUGCCGGAGGUAACCCGUUAAGCAUACCACCUGGGGAGUACGAUCGCAAGGUUGAAACUUAAAGGAAUUGGCGGG
rnacentral:rRNA from 1 species